UACGUAGGGGGCUAGCGUUGUCCGGAAUCAUUGGGCGUAAAGAGCGUGUAGGCGGCUUGGUAAGUCCGCUGUGAAAGUCCAGGGCUCAACCCUGGAAAGCCAGUGGAAACUGUCAAGCUAGAGUCCGGGAGAGGCGAGUGGAACUCCUGGUGUAGCGGUGAAAUGCGCAGAUAUCAGGAAGAACACCAAUGGCGAAGGCAGCUCGCUGGGACGGUACUGACGCUGAGACGCGAAAGCGUGGGGAGCAAACAGG
rnacentral:rRNA from 1 species